UACGAAGGGGGCUAGCGUUGCUCGGAAUCACUGGGCGUAAAGGGUGCGUAGGCGGGUUUUUAAGUCAGGGGUGAAAUCCUGGAGCUCAACUCCAGAACUGCCUUUGAUACUGAAGAUCUUGAGUCCGGGAGAGGUGAGUGGAACUGCGAGUGUAGAGGUGAAAUUCGUAGAUAUUCGCAAGAACACCAGUGGCGAAGGCGGCUCACUGGCCCGGUACUGACGCUGAGGAGCGAAAGCGUGGGGAGCGAACAGG
rnacentral:rRNA from 1 species